rnacentral:rRNA from 1 species
UACGGAGGGUGCAAGCGUUAUCCGGAUUCACUGGGUUUAAAGGGUGCGUAGGUGGGUUAGUAAGUCAGUGGUGAAAUCUCCGAGCUUAACUUGGAAACUGCCAUUGAUACUAUUAAUCUUGAAUACCGUGGAGGUCAGCGGAAUAUGUCAUGUAGCGGUGAAAUGCUUAGAUAUGACAUAGAACACCAAUUGCGAAGGCAGCUGGCUACACGAAUAUUGACACUGAGGCACGAAAGCGUGGGGAUCAAACAGG